CCUACGGGAGGCAGCAGUGGGGAAUUUUGGACAAUGGGCGAAAGCCUGAUCCAGCCAUGCCGCGUGCAGGAUGAAGGCCUUCGGGUUGUAAACUGCUUUUGUACGGAACGAAAAGGUCUUUUCUAAUAAAGAAGGCUCAUGACGGUACCGUAAGAAUAAGCACCGGCUAACUACGUGCCAGCAGCCGCGGUAAUACGUAGGGUGCGAGCGUUAAUCGGAAUUACUGGGCGUAAAGCGUGCGCAGGCGGUUAUAUAAGACAGUUGUGAAAUCCCCGGGCUCAACCUGGGAACUGCAUCUGUGACUGUAUAGCUAGAGUACGGUAGAGGGGGAUGGAAUUCCGCGUGUAGCAGUGAAAUGCGUAGAUAUGCGGAGGAACACCGAUGGCGAAGGCAAUCCCCUGGACCUGUACUGACGCUCAUGCACGAAAGCGUGGGGAGCAAACAGGAUUAGAUACCCUGGUAGUCCACGCCCUAAACGAUGUCAACUGGUUGUUGGGUCUUCACUGACUCAGUAACGAAGCUAACGCGUGAAGUUGACCGCCUGGGGAGUACGGCCGCAAGGUUGAAACUCAAGGAUUGACGGNNGNGNGNGACGAGACGACGACGAGGAGAGG
rnacentral:rRNA from 1 species